AAGCCAUGUUGGGGACACUUCAGGAGUAUUUCUUUAAACUUUUCCUAUUCCUCGUACAAGGUUUCAGUUUCUUUUUGUUCAAAAGAAGUGAUUUCUGCUUUGAGCCU